rnacentral:rRNA from 1 species
AGUGGGGAAUCUUAGACAAUGGGCGCAAGCCUGAUCUAGCCAUGCCGCGUGAGUGAAGAAGGCCUUAGGGUCGUAAAGCUCUUUCGCCUGUGAAGAUAAUGACUGUAGCAGGUAAAGAAACCCCGGCUAACUCCGUGCCAGCAGCCGCGGUAAUACGGAGGGGGUUAGCGUUGUUCGGAAUUACUGGGCGUAAAGCGCGCGUAGGCGGACAUUUAAGUCAGGGGUGAAAUCCCGGGGCUCAACCCCGGAACUGCCCUUGAUACUGGGUGUCUUGAGUUCGAGAGAGGUGAGUGGAAUUCCGAGUGUAGAGGUGAAAUUCGUAGAUAUUCGGAGGAACACCAGUGGCGAAGGCGGCUCACUGGCUCGAUACUGACGCUGAGGUGCGAAAGUGUGGGGAGCAAACAGGAUUAGAUACCCUGGUAGUCCACACCGUAAACGAUGAAUGCCAGUCGUCGGGCAGCAUGCUGUUCGGUGACACACCUAACGGAUUAAGCAUUCCGCCUGGGGAGUACGGUCGCAAGAUUA